UACGAAGGGUGCAAACGUUGCUCGGAAUUAUUGGGCGUAAAGCGCACGUAGGCGGCUUAGCAAGUCGGAAGUGAAAGCCCUCGGCUCAACCAAGGAAGUGCUUUCGAAACUGCUGAGCUUGAGUACUUAAGAGGAUCGCGGAAUUCCCGGUGUGAGAGGUAGAAAUUCGUAGAUAGUCGGGGAAGGAACCACCAGGUGGC
rnacentral:rRNA from 1 species